GAUGAACGCUGGCGGCGUGCCUAAUACAUGCAAGUCGAGCGAACAGACGAGGAGCUUGCUCCUCUGACGUUAGCGGCGGACGGGUGAGUAACACGUGGAUAACCUACCUAUAAGACUGGGAUAACUUCGGGAAACCGGAGCUAAUACCGGAUAAUAUAUUGAACCGCAUGGUUCAAUAGUGAAAGACGGUUUUGCUGUCACUUAUAGAUGGAUCCGCGCGGCAUUAGCUAGUUGGUAAGGUAACGGCUUACCAAGGCAACCAUGCGUAGCCGACCUGAGAGGGGGAGCGGCGACACUGGGAGUGAGAGACGGUACAGACUCCUACGGGAGGCAGAAGUAGGGAAUCUUCGGAAAUGGGCGAAAGCUUGACGGAGCAACGCCGCGUGAGUGAUGAAGGUCUUCGGAUCGUAAAACUCUGUUAUUAGGGAAGAACAAUUGUGUAAGUAACUAUGCACGUCUUGACGGUACCUAAUCAGAAAGCCACGGCUAACUACGUG
rnacentral:rRNA from 1 species